CCCCCCUCCAGUUCUCUUGCCCAUAGGCAAAGAGGAUUUGCUUGCUGACAUGCUGGAGUCUCGCAGGGAGCAGGGCUCCGGGUGCUGGGGCAGCACAGCUGGGCCAGGCCGUGUCUGUGAGCAGCCCUGGCUGCAGGCAGAGCUUCCCGAUUCUUCUGUUUCCCUGCAUCAGUGAAUUCAACUCUGGCUGUGUGCUGCUGGUGAUGAGGACAGGAGGCUGAGGUGGCUCCCACACCCCUCCAUCAGUCCAGCCCUCCUUGCUGGAUGGAGCUGAGCCGCAGCUUGGUGAGGGCUCCCGGAGCAGGAUGAGUCCCUGGACAGGAAGCUGCAGCGGCCGCUCCUGGGCAAGUCGCGGACGCUGCCCAGCAUCCCGCAGUCCCCGGUGCUGAGCCGGCUGCCCCUGCUCGAGCCCGCCGCCUACCGGGACGAGAUGCCGGAGCAGAAGCCCUUCCAGAAGCACUCGGCCUCCGAGCACCAGAAAGGCUGCACGGUGCCUUCUGCCGGGGAGGCCUGGCGGCUGGAGGAUGACUGCUCGGAGCCGCCCAGGGCCCCCCAGCUGGGCACGGCUGUGGAGGACGCCCCGUUCAGCUACUUCCGCACGCGCUCCUUCUACAUGAGGAAGAGCCUGUCCGUGGACAACCACCUGGGCUCGCUGAGCUACGCCGUGCACCCGGCCGAGAGCAAGGCCGAGCGCGUCAGGACCAAGCUGCGGCGGCAGUUCUUUGAGCCUUGGUCCCUUCUCCUCCCACUGCCAACUCUCUUCCCAGCCCUGGGUCCUGAGCCAGCUCCCGGUGAUGCUGCCCCAUGGACGGGGAGAGCCCUGCCUGGAGGAGGAGAUGGAGACUCCAGGGGGACAUGGGAGGGUGGGGUGGUCUCCAAGAGACCCUCAGCCCAGUGUGGAACCUCUCUGAGCAGAGCUGCCCAGGUGUGAAGUAUCCUUCUGCUGGCACAAUAAAUUGCAUUUCCAGUCCUCUUUGGGGGCCUGU
rnacentral:lncRNA from 1 species